GUAAUCUCGUCUACUGCUGAAACAAUCCAACACAGCCGCCAAAAAGCACCAACUUCAGAUUGCAAUCACAAUGAAAGAAUUCUAUAAUCAUAUAAUUUAUUGCUCUGAAAAAGAAAAAAAAAACAUAUAUUAAAAGAAUCUCACCAUACUAUUUAAACACCCUCAGCCCAUCCAUUCCUCACCAAUUCUCCCAGUCUCUUCUCUUGUCUCUCUCUCUCUCUUCCUCCUUUCUCAGAUUCUUCUGAAGUGAAACAUGUCCAAGGAGGCCACCUUUGUGUUCAUUUCUUUCCUUCUCUUUGCAUCUUUUCUAGCCCAUGCAGGAGGCAGGCCAGUGCCAGUGGAUCCAAAAGAGACCAGUCUUCAGGGUGUUGAGAAGGAGAUGGCUGAGAGAGUGGAAGAAUGCGUGGGAGUUGGGGAGGAUGAAUGCUUGAUGAGGAGGACCCUGGUUGCACACACUGACUACAUCUACACCCAGGAGCACCAUUAAGAUGGGUGGUUUAGUUCUGUGGCCUGUGGAUUGUCUGCCACAAGGAUUUCAUCUAUUAUUCUGCUUAAGCUGGAAUUGAUAAUAUUUGGGUUUUUAGAUUCUAAAGGUUUAGGAAACCUAAGAGAGAGAGAGAGAGAGAGAGAGAGAGAGAGAGAGAGAGAGAGAGAGAGAGAGAGAGAGAGAGAGAGAAUCAUAUGCAUGCCAUGUAAAACUACUUGGAUACUAUGUCUAUGUACUUCAGUGUUUAUGAAAUCCAACCUUAGAGAAGUUGUUUAAUAUA